GGAAUGACGCCAAUUUUGAAUCACCCUGUAUAGACUAUGAACCAAUGUUGCUCCCAUCGAUAAACGCAUUUGUGAAAAAUUAAGCUCUGGUCUGAUUAGCUUGAAAAAUGUUCAGCGUGUCUAGUUUGGGGUCUUUUAGAAACGGACCGAAAGGCAAGUUUGUACCUGUCUUACGUUGGGAGUGAGGAAUUGUUGAAAGUUAGGUGACCGAAGGUGUGAGAGGUGAGGUAAGAUAAAAGUGAGUGAGGCUUUGGUCAAGUUUUAUUGAGAUUCUAGGCAUUUGUGAGAAGUCAAGCUCUUGUAUGGUUGGCUUGAAAAAUGUCCAGCUUGUCCAGUUUGGUGUCUUUCAAAACAGCACCGAAAGGCAAGUUUCUACCUGCUUUGAGGUAGAAGUGAGAAUUUUUUGAAGGUGAGAUGGCUUUGAUCAAUGCUAGCAAAUUCAGGCAUUCGUCAAAAAAGAAGUUCUGAUCGGAUUGACUUAAAACAUUUUCAGAUUGACUAGUUUAGUGUCUGUUAGAAGUGGACCGAAAGGCAAGUUUGUACCUGCCUUAAGUUGGGAGUGAGAAAUUUUUGAGUGUGGUAAGUUCGUGGCUUUGGUCAAUUUUUAUUGAGAUUUUAGGCAUUCGUAAAAAAAUAAGAUCGGGUCUGAUUGACGUGAAAAUAUUUUGGUUUGUCCAGUUUAGUGUCUUUUACAACAGAACUGAAGGGCAAGUUUGUACCUGCCUUAAGUUGAGAGUGUGGAAUUGUUGAAAGUGAGAUGACUUUGUGCUUUGGUCAAUUUUUGUUGCAAUUUUAGGCAUUCGUCAAUAAAGAAGUUCUGGUCGGAUUGACUUGAAAAAUUUUCGGCUUGUCUGGUUUUGUGCCUUUUAGGGCUAAAUCUACAAUUGCGGUAUAUACCAGGAACAAGCUCUUCUUGGCAUAUAUUUGUAAAAUUGGGAUCUACAAUAGUCGAAUAACGUUCAACUCGGUAUAAAUGGCGGUAUAACUUAUACCAGUGAAAUGAGCCGGAUAUACUGCAGAUAAAGUUGUUCCUUCGUUCUAUUGGUCAAUGAGUGACAGCGUCUUAUUUCUUGGUCUGGUUUCAUAACCUACAAUUUCUCAAUUCUCACUUUAAGACUUUUAUGCUAAUCUGGAAAUUUUGUAGGAGUAAGCAAAACAUCUGUCUGUUCAAUUGUGAGACAAGUUUCAGAGGCUAUUGCUCGGUUGCGUCUGAGGAAUAUAAGAUUUCCCGGAAAUAUUGCCACCAGACAAAAAGCGAAAUUUUUUUUUAUAGAGUUGCCAGAUUUCCACUGGUCAUUGGUGCGAUUGACUGCACGCAUGUGAAAAUCCAGUCUCCUGGAGGAGAAGACGCUGAGCGGUUCCGUAAUAGGAAAGGAUGUAUUUCAUGGAAUGUUCAGACAAUUUGCGAUGCGCAAUUGAAAAUAAUUGACAAGGUGGCCGGGUUCACGCCAUGACCAAACUAUUUUCAAUAACUGCAGAAUCAAGAACAUAUUUUCCAAUGGUGAAAUCCCAAAUUGUGUUAUUUUGGGUGACAGUGGCUAUGGAAACACUAACUAUUUACUUACACCACUGUCAGAUCCUUUCACAGCUCCUGAAAAACUAUAUAAUGAAUCACACAUAAGAACCAGAAACUGUGUUGAAAGAUCUUACGUGGCGUGGAAAAGGAGAUUUUCCAUAUUGUCCUUAGGAAUGCGAGUAAACGCCGAGUUAUCAAAGAUAAUUAUUGUUGCUACAGCCGUUCUGCAUAACAUUUGCGUUGAAGAAAAGGAUGGAGAUCCACCAAUUGAAUUGGAUUUCGAAAAUGUUGGCGCAGAUGAGUUACCGUCAUCGAUAACCGAAUUCAAAUAUUUCUAUCAAUAAUAGAAUGAAGUCAAAAAUUAUAAAUAAUCAUUUUGCACAUUUACUGUUGGAAUAAUUGGAUAAUAAAGAACAACGUGAAUUA